CCUUCGGGAGCCGACGAGUGGCGAACGGGUGAGUAAUACAUACGGAACGUGUCCUUAAGUGGGGAAUAACGCAUCGAAAGAUGUGCUAAUACCGCAUAUCUACUGAGGAGAAAAGCAGGGGAUACGCAAGACCUUGCGCUAAAGGAGCGGCCGAUGUCUGAUUAGCUAGUUGGUGGGGUAAAGGCUUACCAAGGGCAACGAUCAGUAGUUGGUCUGAGAGGACGGCCAACCACACUGGGACUGAGACACGGGCCAGACUCCUACGGGAGGCAGCAGUGGGGAAUUUUGGACAAUGGGCGAAAGCCUGAUCCAGCCAUGCCGCGUGAGUGAAGAAGGCUUCGGGUUGUAAAGCUCUUUUAGUCGGAAAGAAAGAGUUGGAAUGAAUAAUUGUGAUUUAUGACGGUACCGACAGAAAAAGCACCGGCUAACUACGUGCCAGCAGCCGCGGUAAUACGUAGGGUGCGAGCGUUAAUCGGAAUUACUGGGCGUAAAGGGUGCGCAGGCGGUCUUGCAAGUCAGAUGUGAAAGCCCCGGGCUUAACCUGGGAAUUGCGUUUGAAACUACAAGGCUAGAGUGCAGCAGAGGGGAGUGGAAUUCCAUGUGUAGCAGUGAAAUGCGUAGAGAUGUGGAAGAACACCGAUGGGCGAAGGCAGCUCCCUGGGUUGACACUGACGCUCAUGCACGAAAGCGUGGGGAGCAAACCAGGAUUAGAUACCCUGGUAGUCCACGCCCUAAACGAUGUCAACUAGUUGUCGGAUCUAAUUAAGGAUUUGGUAACGUAGCUAACGCGUGAAGUUGACCGCCUGGGGAGUACGGUCGCAAGAUUAAAACUCAAAGGAAUUGACGGGGACCCGCACAAGCGGUGGAUUAUGUGGAUUAAUUCGUAUGCAACGCCGAAAAACCUUACCUACCCUUGUACAUGCCAGGGAAUGCA
rnacentral:rRNA from 1 species